UACGUAGGGGGCAAGCGUUGUCCGGAAUCAUUGGGCGUAAAGCGCGUGUAGGCGGCUCGAUAAGUCUGCUGUGAAAGUCCAAGGCUCAACCUUGGGAUGCCGGUGGAUACUGUCGAGCUCGAGUCCGGAAGAGGAGUGUGGAAUUCCUGGUGUAGCGGUGAAAUGCGCAGAUAUCAGGAGGAACACCGAUUGCGAAGGCAGCUUACUAAGGAGUUACUGACACUGAGGCACGAAAGCGUGGGGAUCAAACAGG
rnacentral:rRNA from 1 species